rnacentral:rRNA from 1 species
UGGGGAAUUUUCCGCAAUGGGCGCAAGCCUGACGGAGCAAGACCGCGUGCGGGAGGACGGCCUAUUGGUUGUAAACCGCUUUUGAUAGGGAAGAAGCUCUGACGGUACCUAUCGAAUCAGCAUCGGCUAACUCCGUGCCAGCAGCCGCGGUAAUACGGAGGAUGCAAGCGUUAUCCGGAAUUAUUGGGCGUAAAGCGUCCGUAGGUGGUUGUUCAAGUCUGCUGUUAAAGCGUGCGGCUUAACCGCAUA